AGCAGCCGCGGUAAUUCCAGCUCCAAUAGCGUAUAUUAAAGUUGUUGCAGUUAAAAAGCUCGUAGUUGAAUUUCGGGGUUAGUAGGUCGGUCAUGCCUCAGGUAUGCACUGGUCUCACUGAUUCCUCCUUCCUGAUGAGCCGUAAUGCCAUUAAUUUGGUGUUGCGGGGAAUCUGGACUGUUACUUUGAAAAAUUAGAGUGUUUAAAGCAGGCUAACGCUUGAAUACAUUAGCAUGGAAUAAUGGAAUAGGACGUUCGAUCCUAUUUUGUUGGUUUCUAGGAUUGACGUGAUGAUUAAUAGGGAUAGUUGGGGGCAUUAGUAUUCAAUUGUCAGAGGUGAAAUUCUUGGAUUUAUUGAAGACUAACUACUGCGAAAGCAUUUGCCAAGGAUGUUUUCAUUAAUCAAGAACGAAAGUUAGGGGAUCGAAGACGAUCAGAUACCGUCGUAGUCUUAACCAUAAACUAUGCCGACUAGGGAUCGGAUGAUGUUAAUUUUUAAUGA
rnacentral:rRNA from 1 species